CUCACUUUUGGUGGAGAAGGAGAAGAACAGACUUUCAUAUGGAGGUAUGUCAUUUUCCGAGAGUAAGAGCAAGUUGAUGGAAAAUUAGAGGAGAGUGAAUACGAGUUUCGAGCUGGUGCGUCAAUUUGGUAAUGAAAUUUUAUAUUUGGCCAUGGCUAUCAAAAUUGGAGGUUCUCCAUCACUAUAAAUUGAGUGCAACUAAGACUGAAAGAGUGUGAAGUAUAAACUCACCAAAAACCUUGUGUAUAUGGUAUUAGGAAGAAUUCAAUGAAAAUACGGUUAAGACUAUGAAUAAUAUCCCUAAAGGUUAGUAUUACAUGUCAGCCGAUAGACACUUUUGGUGA